rnacentral:rRNA from 1 species
GACGAACGCUGGCGGCGUGCUUAACGCAUGCAAGUCGAACGGAAAGGCCCUGCUUUUGUGGGGUGCUCGAGUGGCGAACGGGUGAGUAACACGUGAGUAACCUGCCCUUGACUUUGGGAUAACUUCAGGAAACUGGGGUUAAUACCGGAUAGGAGCUCCUGCUGCAUGGUGGGGGUUGGAAAGUUUCGGCGGUUGGGGAUGGACUCGCGGCUUAUCAGCUUGUUGGUGGGGUAGUGGCUUACCAAGGCUUUGACGGGUAGCCGGCCUGAGAGGGUGACCGGCCACAUUGGGACUGAGAUACGGCCCAGACUCCUACGGGAGGCAGCAGUGGGGAAUAUUGCACAAUGGGCGGAAGCCUGAUGCAGCAACGCCGCGUGCGGGAUGACGGCCUUCGGGUUGUAAACCGCUUUCGCCUGUGACGAAGCGUGAGUGACGGUAAUGGGUAAAGAAGCACCGGCUAACUACGUG